rnacentral:rRNA from 1 species
GACGAACGCUGGCGGCGUGCUUAACACAUGCAAGUCGAACGGAAAGGCCCUGCUUUUGUGGGGUGCUCGAGUGGCGAACGGGUGUGUAACACGUGAGUAACCUGCCCUUGACUUUGGGAUAACUUCAGGAAACUGGGGCUAAUACCGGAUAGGAGCUCCUGCUGCAUGGUGGGGGUUGGAAAGUUUCGGCGGUUGGGGUUGGUUUCGCGGCUUCUCAGCUUGUUGGUGGGGUUGUGGCUUACCAAGGCUUGGACGGGUAGCCGGCCUGGGAGGGAGACAGGCCACAUAGUGACAGGGAUGCGGCCCGGACGCAAACGGGAGGCAUGGGCGGGAAACAUUGCGCAAUGGGCGGAGGCCUGAAUGAGGAACGCCGGGUGCGGGAUGACGGCCUUCGGGUUGGAAAACGUUUGCACCUGUGACGAAGCGUGAGGGACGGUAAUGGGUAAAGAAGCACCGGCUAACUCCGG